AGCUCGGUCGGGGCGGCGCGGGGCGGCGGAGUCCACCGCGCUCCGCUCCGCUCCGCCCGCCCGCAGCGCAGCCAGAGCAUGCUGUGCCGUCCCCGGGGAAGGUUGCUCGGCCCGUCCAUCCCGUCUCGUGUCGUUGUCGCCCGACCCGGCCGUCGUCGGCGUGCCGCUGCGCCGCGUCCUCCUCAACACCGCCGCGAGCCGGGUGCGCUCGACCGCGCUUGGAUUACCCGCCAGUGUGUGUGUGCGCUCUAGAGUGUCGAGUGAUAAUCCUCCUCCCAGUGUUGUCGUCGGCGGUGACCCCCUAGCUGGUGACAGUCGCCCCCCGCCCCCUCCACCCCUCCCGGCCCCUACGCCCCCGCGCCCGGCGCGCACCCCGUCCACCGGAGAGCGACAGGGCACCGCCUUCCUCGCCUUGCCCGCCAUGAAGAUGUCCACGUCGUCCAUGUCCCCCGCGCCCGGCUAACGGGCAGUGCGUGUGCUCAAGAGCAGGAGGAAUAGAGUGAGAGGGAAGGGAGAGAGAGAGAGUGUGAGAGAGAUCCAGAGAGUGCGUGCCGGACCCCCCAGCUUGGACGGUCGCGGUGCUACCCGCCCCUGCAGAGACACAGAGACCUCCCGACGAGCCGUGCACCGCGCCGCCCUCAUCCUCGCCUCGCCCGGGCGCCAGGCCCAGCAGCCCCGGACCAGCAGCGACUCUAAAGGUGUAUGUGGUCAGCGGGGCCUAUGCGACGGAAUGGAGGCAGGGCUUGACUGUCAAGCUACAGGCGCGGUAGGGCACUCUUCCUCGCCCAGCAGAUCCUCAUGGCAAUCAUUUGCGGUGAUGGCGCCGGGCAGCAGGCCGCAGCGGGGCCCAGCGCGCCCUCAAUGAGGGGGCUGGCCUGCCGGG